rnacentral:rRNA from 1 species
UACGGAGGGUGCGAGCGUUGUCCGGAAUCACUGGGCGUAAAGGGCGCGUAGGUGGCGGAGCAAGUCAACGGUGAAAGCUCGACGCUCAACGUCGAGUCGGCCGUCGAUACUGCUUGCUUGAGCACUGUAGAGGCAGAUGGAAUUCCGGGUGUAGCGGUGGAAUGCGUAGAGAUCCGGAAGAACACCGGUGGCGAAGGCGGUCUGCUGGGCAGUAGCUGACACUGAGGCGCGACAGCGUGGGGAGCAACAGG